AGUUCCUGGAUGUUCUGCUUCAGAGGUUGUGGUUUGGCUUCCUGGGCUGGUGGUUGCAGGGUGUGGAUCAGUUCUGCUGUGGGAUCUCCAUCUGGCCUGCUGACCGCAGCGUUAUUCACACUUUCCAGACAGCCGUGUGUGACACCUGCUGCUGGAGCUCAGCCUGGCUCCUGCCUCUGGAGGACGACGGUCCGAACUUCUGAUGGGAGAGAACGGAAACCUUCAGAGGAUAGAGAUUUAAGGGUAGGGGCCCUCCUUGCUGUUCCCAGAAUGAAACGCAGACGCUGAUAAAGAAGACGCUGCCUGGAGUCUGAUACACCUCAAGACAGCUGUCCUGAUGCUUCUGGGACCCAUGAAGACCCAGGAGGUCCAGCCUGUGCCUGCGGCGAGUGACUUGUUUCUCAAGUCCUUUGAAGUAGCCUUGUGAAUCAGGAUGAGCGCCUUGACAACAAGCAAACACGCUAAUUCAGGCGAUGGUGGCGAGAUGCCCUCAUACAGCUUUUGGAGACUGUGCUCACGAAAGAUGAAUGACAACUCUUCCUGGUAUUUCUGGCAGCUGUUUUUUUACCAAACUGUGUCCCAAGAAUUCUGUGGAAUAUACUUUGCUUCCUGUGCAGAUAACCAAAAAUAUCAUUAAAAAAAUCAUUUCCACCUCAUUAGUGGGACCUUCAUUUUAUUGGCAAAGUUUUUCAGAAAGCUUUUAAAAUGUGUUUAAACCAUUUAAAUCUGUCAGUCUAGUCCUGAAUCUGUCAUUCUCUAAUGACAUCUCCAAUUGAGUUAUUUUGAUAGUUAUAUACGGUAUUGCUUAGACGGUUAAUAGCCACAUGUAAAGCCAUAACAC
ensembl:lncRNA